ACCAGUGUUGUGGUGACGACCGCCUGUGAGCUACAGAGUCUGCUGGGAAAGCAUCGACCCAAACUUCCACCAUCACUGAGCGGGAAGAGAGAAUGAAGAGGUUGGGGAAUCUGAUAAUUGAUCUCUAGAAGAUGAUCUGUGAGAGGGAUGAACUUCAUUCAGUCUUGACCCAUUACACCAAAAAGGAUUUGAACCACAGGUCUGAAAUACUCCGGCAGAAGAUCAAACAGGGCAUAGACAAGUGCUCUCUCAGACAGAACUCUUCAAGGGGAGCACUGGGUGUGCAAAGACUCACAUGAAGACCAAGCUGCACAUCUGCUACACAUCUGGGAGGCCUAGGUGCAGCCUGUCUAUGUUCUUUGGUUGAUGGCUCAGACUCUGAGAGACCCAAGGGUCCAGCCUGCCAUCCCAGGGGACUUCCAUUCUCCUGCUGCCUCUCCUCUACCUCCAUCAGACUCCUGAACCAUACAGUUUUCAGAACAAUCAACACUUGCUGAGUUUUUGGAAAAAAUAGAGUCCGAGGAUCCCAUAAACUGUUCAACAUGAAGCCCUAAUUCCAGUGGAAAGAAUAAUGGUGAAUUUUAUGUGGUUAAUCUGUGCCGAGAGGUUUCAGCAAAUGGUGUAAUUUGAGGUAAUUCGGUGUUAAAGAAGCAUGUGAAAGAUUAGUGCUAACUUUGAAGAUGUAUGCUCCUAAAAUAUGCAGCAUGAGUUACCAAAGACUGAUCUAGACACCCAUCUAUAGCCUAUAAACCACUGACUUGA
ensembl:processed_transcript 4930431P03Rik RIKEN cDNA 4930431P03 gene